UCCUCCUCAGGUUUGCCCCACGCGAGAUGCAGCUUGGCUCCAAUCGCUGCAGGGUGCAGGCACACCAUCCUCGGCUCUGUUCGGUGUGAUGUAUGACUGCUAUGCACGGCUCGGCUCCACACAGAACAGAGGAGUCGCCGACUCCAGAUCCAGCGCCGCCAGGAUUCAGCCCCACCGCCGCCGCCGCCGGGAUUCGCUUCAGCGCCGCCGCCGGGAUUCGCAUCGCCGCCGCUGGUAGUUGCCUCCGCGCCGCUGCUGGGAGUCACCCAAACUUGCGUCGGCAAGAGGGAGGUAAAAGAGCUGAAUGCUUCUUUCACUAUUGAUUGCAUGGGGAGAGAAGCAAAUGGAGUUGGAUGAACUUUGUUCCAGAAAAAGUAUCCGAUGCGUUGUAGUUUGAUUCUAGUCCUGAUUAAUGAUUAACAAAUCUCUCAAGUCUGAAAAAAGGAGAUAUGUAUAAGCACCUUUGUGAGUACCUAGUUAUCAAUUGAUAGUGUAGCAUUAUCUAUUUGCUACAAUCUGAAGAAGUGUAGGGCUUGGAAACCAAAGCUUCUUAACUGUUUGUACAAGACUAGAGUCAACUGGAUUGUUGCUGGCAGAGUGUUAUAGUAGAACAUUAAAAAGGCAUAUGCUUCUCCCCCUGCAUGCUUGAAGAGCUUUAGUCAAGAUGGAGCUGUAGAGCAUUGGUGCUUCGAACAAGGAUGAUGCUUUGUACAGGUGCAAGAUGCCUAGAAUCCUAACCGAAGUGAAAGGAUGUGGUAGGCAUCAACAUGAGGGAGCGAAGAGCGAACUGGAGGCCACCUACUCGCGCAAUAGCUACACUCCCCCGUCGUUCUAUCCAAAGGCUCUCAAGUAUAAUCUUGGAAUAACACAACUGCUGAAAAAACCAUUGAAGAGGACGCAAUGGUUUUUUUUGAUUGUACGAGGAUGGAAUGGUUGCUGAUGGAGCAGACUUAGACUAGGAAUGUCAAAUCUUGCAAAUGUGAUGUUGAAUUCAUGACAACUUUGUACCAGCCUAUAGCUGAUUGUUCUCCCUGACAUUACAUUUGGAUAAUAUAAAAUCUUCAUUUUGAUGGAUA